GGGUGGAUGGCUCAGUGGUUAGAGCCUAGGGCUCGUAACUGAAAGGUUCCGAGUUCGAACCUCCCAAAAGGCA
rnacentral:tRNA from 1 species